GCGUGAAUGAUGAAGGUCUUAGGAUUGUAAAAUUCUUUCACCGGGGACGAUAAUGACGGUACCCGGAGAAGAAGCCCCGGCUAACUUCGUGCCAGCAGCCGCGGUAAUACGAAGGGGGCUAGCGUUGCUCGGAAUUACUGGGCGUAAAGGGAGCGUAGGCGGACUGUUUAGUCAGAGGUGAAAGCCCAGGGCUCAACCUUGGAAUUGCCUUUGAUACUGGCAGUCUUGAGUACGGAAGAGGUAUGUGGAACUCCGAGUGUAGAGGUGAAAUUCGUAGAUAUUCGGAAGAACACCAGUGGCGAAGGCGACAUACUGGUCCGUUACUGACGCUGAGGCUCGAAAGCGUGGGGAGCAAACAGGAUUAGAUACCCUGGUAGUCCACGCCGUAAACGAUGAGUGCUAGUUGUCGGCAUGCAUGCAUGUCGGUGACGCAGCUAACGCAUUAAGCACUCCGCCUGGGG
rnacentral:rRNA from 1 species